rnacentral:lncRNA from 1 species
CAGAGACAGGUAGGUGGAGACAGACUCAGGCAUAUAAGGACACACACACACACACAUACAGCCACACACACACAAACAUACAGUCACACACACCCAUACACAGCUACACACACACACAAGCAUACAUAGACACACACACAUACUGACAGAUACACAGCCAUACACACACACACACACUUACAAACAUACAACCACACUCACACACACUUACAAACACACAGACACACACACACAUACUUACAAACAUACACAGCCACACACACACACUUACAUAGUCACACACACACACCCAUACACACACACUUACAAAUAUACAACCACACACACACACACACACAUACUUACAAACAUACACAGCCACACACACAUACAUACAUACAUACAUACACACACACACACACACACA